UUGACUUUAUAGUGGUUUUCCAGCUAGCCAGAAUAUGCCUAUAUUAAUUUCUUUAGUAUCAUUUUAUCCAAAUGAAAACACAAUAUUUGAAAAAUGUUCCAGAUCUCUAAGAAUACAUUUUUGGAACCUCAGGCAUCUAUUAAUCUUUGUUUGUACAAUGUCACUGAAGGAUUUUAACCUGAGAAUUAAUACAAUAAGAAGUACAAAUGAUCAAUAAACAUAAUUAUUCUUUCUCACUAGGGGAAAAAAAAGGGACUGAAAAUAAGACCUGAUGACAAUAAUAAGUAUUUUGGAGGGUUCAAGGAGAAGAAUUGUCACCCUUAUACACUGCCUUUGGGAUUUUAAUUAAGUUUCACAUUUCUUGAAAGCAAAUUGAUCAUGUAUAUUAAAGACAUAAAAAUAUGUAUACCCUUGACUCAAUUGUUUCCACUUCUAGACAUGUAUUAUAAGAACAUAAUAAAAUUCACAUGGAUACAUUAAUUAACAUAGUAAGUGGCACAUAAUAUGCACUCGAUAAAUAUUUACAUACACACACACAGACAUACUAUGCCUGUACUUAUGUCUGUCAAUAUGCUAGGUGUUGGACAUACAAUAAUGACGAGAAAGUACAGUUUAGUUGUGGAGAUAAAUUAAAAAUUACAUAAACAUGUAACAACUAUGGCACGUUUCAUGGGAAAAGGAGAUGUGGAUGCCUUUAAGAGAGGUUUUUUUUUCCAAAUGUGUAAUUUUUAUUGGUACAUAGUAGGUGUAUAUAUUUAUUGGGUACAUGUGGCGUUCUGAUACAGGAGUACAAUGUGUACAUAGAACACAUCAGGGCAAAUGAGAUAUCCAUCACUUCAAACGUUUAUUUCUUUGUGUUAGGAACAUUCCAAUUCCAUUCUUUUAGUUAUUUUAAAAUUUGCAAUAAAUUGCUGUUGACUAUAGCCACCCUGUUGUGCUAUCAAGUACCAGAUCUUAUUUAUUUUAUCCAACUAUCUUUUGGUACCGAUUAACCAUCCCCUUUCCCCACCCCUCUCCCCACAACCAACACCCUUCCCAGCCUCUGAUAACUGUCACCCUACCAUCUAUUACCAUGAGUUCAAUACUUUUAAUAUUUAGCUCCCACAAAAGAGUGAGAACAUGCAGAACUUCUCUUUUUGUGCCUGGCUUAUUUCACAUAACAAAAUAUCCUCCAGUGCCACCCAUGUUGUUGCUAAUGACAGGAUCUCAUUCUAUUUUAUGGCUGAAUAGCAUAUCAUUGUGUAUAUGUACCACAUUUUCUUUAUCCAUUCAUCUUUUGGAUAGUUACAUUGAUUCCAAAUCUUGGCUAUUGUGAAUAGUGCUACAAUAAACAUGGGAGUACAGAUCUCUUCAAUACACCCUCCCUUUUGGGUAUAUAACUAGUGGUAGGAUUGCUGGAUCCUAUGAUAGGUCUAUUUUAGUUUUGUAAGGAACCUCCACACUGUUCUUCAUAGUGGCUGUACUAAUUUACAUUCCCACCAACAGUCUAUGGAAGGUUCACUUUCUCCACAUCCUUGUCAGCAUUUGUGAUUGCCUAUCUUUUGGAUGAAAGCCAUUUUAACCAGGGUGAGGUGAUAUCUUAUUGUGAUUUGUAUUUGCAUUUCUCUGAUGAUUAGUGAUGUUGAUCAUUUUCCCCAUAUACCUGUUGCCCCUUUGUAUGUCUUAUUUUAAGAAAUGUCUAUUCAGACAUUUUGCCUAUUUUUAAAUCAUAUUAUUAGUUAGGUUUUUUUCCUAUUGAGAUGUUUGAGCUUCUUAUAUAUUCUGGUUAUUAAUCCCUUAUCAAAUGGAUAGUUUGCAAAUAUUUUCUCCCAUUUCUGUCUGUUUUUGCUUUUGAGGUAUUACUUAAGAAAUUUUUGCACAGACCAAGGGGCAAAACUCUUUGAGAGCUUCCCCAAUGUUUUCUUUGUUGUUUAAUAGUUUGAGGUCUUAGAUUUAAUUCUUUAAUCGAUUUGGAUUUGUUUUUUAUAUGUGACAAGAGAUAAGGGUCUAGUUUCAUUCUUCUGCAUGUGGAUAUUCAAUUUUCCCAGCACUAUUUAUUGAAGAGACUGUCCCUUCCCCAAUGUAUGUUCUUAGCACCUUUGCUGAAAAUGUUUACUGUAGAUGUAUGGAUUUAUUUCUGAGUUAUCUAUUAUUUUCCAUAGGUCUACGUGUCUGUUUUUAUGCCAGUACCAUGCUGUUUUGAUUACUAUAGCUCUGUAGUAUAACUUGAGGUCAGGCAAUGUGAUUCCUUCAGUGUUGUUCUUGUUGCUCCAGAUGGCUUUGGCUAUUCUGGGUCUUUUGCAGCUCCAUGUAAACUUUAGGAUUUUAAAAAAUUUCGAACAGAGGUAUUUAUUAGGUUGGUUCAAAAGUAAUUGUGGUUUUUGCCAUUGAAAGUUAUGGUAAAACCCACAAUUGCUUUUGCAUCAACAUAAUAACAUGAUCAAAGAGGUCAAAAAUGGUUUCCCCCAAGAAAACACCUAUAAGCUGAAAGCUGAAUGAUGGACAGGUGCUAACUAGAAGACCAGAAAAAGCAAGUUUCAAACAGAGAAGUGGCAUGUGCAAAGGUCCUGAGGUGGGAAGAAACAUGCUGGAUACAAGACUUGAUGGGAAACCAUUGUGACUGCCAUGGCAAGAAAAGGGGGAAUGUGGUAUGUGAU
rnacentral:lncRNA from 1 species